rnacentral:rRNA from 1 species
GACGAACGCUGGCGGCGUGCUUAACACAUGCAAGUCGAACGAAGUGGCGACCGGGUGAGUAACGCGUAAUCAACCUGCCCUCCAGAGGGGGACAACAGUUGGAAACGACUGCUAAUACCGCAUACUGACGGCGGGUUUUGCUUCUGAUUAGCUAGUUGGGGGGGGAACGGCCCACCAGGGCGAUGAUCAGUAGCAGGUCUGUGAGGAGGAACGGCGACAUGGGGACGGAGACACGGCCCAGACUCAUACUGGAGGCAGCAGUGGGGAAUCGUCCGAAAUGGACGAAAGUCUGACGGAGCAACGCCGCGUGAGUGAUGACGGCGUUCGGGUUGUAAAGCUCUGUUAAUCGGGACGCGGUACCGGAAUAGAAAGCCACGGCUAACUACGUGCCAGCAGCCGCGGUAAUAC